rnacentral:rRNA from 1 species
CCGGCGCACGGGUGAGUAACGCGUAUCCAACCUUCCCAUUACUGUGGGAUAACCUGCCGAAAGGCAGACUAAUACCGCAUAGUCUUCGAUGACGGCAUCAGAUUUGAAGUAAAGAUUUAUCGGUAAUGGAUGGGGAUGCGUCUGAUUAGCUUGUUGGCGGGGUAACGGCCCACCAAGGCGACGAUCAGUAGGGGUUCUGAGAGGAAGGUCCCCCACAUUGGAACUGAGACACGGUCCAAACUCCUACGGGAGGCAGCAGCU